UAGGAUUUAUUCCAAUGACCUCUUCUUCUUCCUUGCCUUUUGCAGUUUCAAUUUUUCCACCUUCAGCUGCUGGAUUCACCUCCUGUGGAAAACCCACUGUAUUAACAUCUUCCUCUUCAUCCUCAGCAGUUUUCUGUAAUAAUUGCCUUCUUGUUUCCUUUACUUUCUUUUUCCUCUCACCAUUAGAUUUUUUACUACCUUCCUUGCUUAAAGAAGCUUCCUCCAACAAUUUCUUCUUUAUUUUAUUUUUUCCACUUUUCACCCUCAUAUCACCAGCUUGUAAAUUCCCUCCAGCUGGAGGGCUGUGUUCAUUGAUCUCCUGUUCAUGCUCUGUUUUUACACUUUCCUGCGAUUGCUUUUUCUUUUUAUUCUUCCUAC
rnacentral:misc_RNA from 1 species